rnacentral:rRNA from 1 species
AGUACGGCGGAACACGAGAAAUUCCGUCGGAAUCCGGGAGGACCAUCUCCCAAGGCUAAAUACUCCCUAGUGACCGAUAGUGAACCAGUACCGUGAGGGAAAGGUGAAAAGCACCCCGGAAGGGGAGUGAAAUAGAACCUGAAACCGUGUGCCUACAACAAGUCAAAGCCCGUUAAUGGGUGAUGGCGUGCCUUUUGUAGAAUGAACCGGCGAGUUACGAUUGCAUGCGAGGUUAAGUUGAAGAGACGGAGCCGCAGCGAAAGCGAGUCUGAAUAGGGCGUUUGAGUAUGUAGUCGUAGACCCGAAACCAUGUGAUCUACCCAUGUCCAGGUUGAAGGUGCGGUAAAACGCACUGGAGGACCGAACCCACGUACGUUGAAAAGUGCGGGGAUGAGGUGUGGGUAGCGGAGAAAUUCCAAACGAACUUGGAGAUAGCUGGUUCUCUCCGAAAUAGCUUUAGGGCUAGCCUCGGAAUUGAGAAUGAUGGAGGUAGAGCACUGUUUGGACUAGGGGCCCAUCUCGGGUUACCGAAUUCAGAUAAACUCCGAAUGCCAUUCAUUCAUAUCCGGGAGUCAGACUGUGAGUGAUAAGAUCCAUAGUCGAAAGGGAAACAGCCCAGACCACCAGCUAAGGUCCCAAAAUAUAUGUUAAGUGGAAAAGGAUGUGGGGUUGCACAGACAACUAGGAUGUUGGCUUAGAAGCAGCCACCAUUUAAAGAGUGCGUAAUAGCUCACUAGUCGAGUGACCCUGCGCCGAAAAUGUACCGGGGCUAAACAUAUUACCGAAGCUGUGGAGUACACCUUUAGGUGUAUUGGU